rnacentral:rRNA from 1 species
AUAUACUCUGAGACGUGAUACCGAGCCGCUUCAGGCGAAGUCAUUAAUCCUAUGCUGCCUAGAAAAGCCCAGUAGCGAGUUGACAUGGUGCCCGUACCCCAAACCAACACAGGUGGACAGUAGAGCAUACCAAGGCGAGUGGGAUAACUAUGGUUAAGGAACUCGGCAAAUUUCCUCCGUAACUUCGGGAUAAGGAGGACCCCAGUAGCGUGACGAGACUUGCUCUCCGAGCGUGAAGGGGUGGCACAAAAUUGAGGGAAGCGACUGUUUACCAAAAACACAGCAGCGUGCUAAGCCGUAAGGCGCUGUAUACGCUGUGACUCCUGCCCGGUGCUGGAAGGUUACGGGGAUGGGUUAGUCCUUUGGGACGAAGCUCUGAACCUAAGCCCCAGUAAACGGCGGCCGUAACUAUAACGGUCCUAAGGUAGCGAAAUUCCUUGUCGGGUAAGUUCCGACCUGCACGAAUGGAGUAACGACUUCCCUACUGUCUCAACCAUAGACCCAGCGAAAUUGAAGUACGAGUAAAGAUGCUCGUUAGCUGCAGAAGGACGGAAAGACCCCGUGGACCUUUACUAUAACUUGAUGUUGUGUUUUGUCAUAUGUUGUGUAGGAUAGGUGGGAGACAAGGAAGCAUGGACGCUAGUCUGUGUGGAGUCAUCGUUGAAAUACCACCCUGCAUAUGGUGAGGCUCUAACCUAGACCCGUUAUCCGGGUUAGGGACAGCGUCAGGCGGGUAGUUUAACUGGGGCGGUUGCCUCCUAAAGAGUAACGGAGGCGCCCAAAGGUUCCCUCAGCCUGGUUGGCAAUCAGGCGUCGAGUGCAAUGGCAAAAGGGAGCUUGACUGCGAGACCUACAAGUCGAGCAGGAGCGAAAGCUGGGCAUAGUGAUCCGGCGGUUGCGUGUGGAAGCGCCGUCGCUCAACGGAUAAAAGGUACCCCGGGGAUAACAGGCUAAUCUUGCCCAAGCGUCCAUAGCGACGGCAAGGUUUGGCACCUCGAUGUCGGCUCAUCGCAUCCUGGGGCUGAAGCAGGUCCCAAGGGUUGGGCUGUUCGCCCAUUAAAGCGGUACGCGAGCUGGGUUCAGAACGUCGUGAGACAGUUCGGUCCCUAUCCUCUGUAGCCGUAGGUGAAUUGAGGAAGGCUGUCCCUAGUACGAGAGGACCGGGACGGACGCAGCUCUCGUGUGCCAGUUGUCCUGCCAAGGGCAUGGCUGGUUAGCGACCUGCGGAAAGGAUAACCGCUGAAAGCAUCUAAGCGGGAAGCCUCUUCCAAGAUGAAUUCACCCACAGGGUUAACCUGGUAAGGCCCGUGGUAGACCACCACGUUGAUAGGCCGGA